ACCAACCCCUUGCUUAAGCAGAAACAGGAACAAGGAAGUGAAAACAAACAAAAAGAAAAGAACCUGUCACCAUAGGCACCACGGCGGGGAAAAAAUAGUCCCAGAAAGUGUUGCAGGUUACUUUUUCCACAAGAUUUCCCAGGAAUCGACAGCGAUCUGCUUCUUCAAGGAAACCUUGCCAUCCAGUUCUUGGCAGCUGUUUGAGCUUUUAAGUCCUGAGGGACACAGGUGAAUCCGUCUGAACCCCUGGGAUUUAGAAAAAAAAGCUCUUGGCUGUAGGUGCGCGGAGGGGGCGAGAUGGGGAC